GUUGAGCUUAAAGGGUUAUGCGUAUGCUGAAAGUUUCAGUUAGUCUUGAAAUGUAACACUUUUUUUCUCUGUUUUAGGUGUUCAUGGAGAUCUAAUUAACGUUACAGGAUUAUGGGCAAGAAUCUCAAGCAUGAAAUCAUUGACCAGAGAAAGUUGGGCAGCUGUUGACAGCUUUCACAACAAAUCAAGACUAAAGAGCCGACUGAUACUAGGUCUCUGAUGCUCAGAGGACUCCCUAUCAUUCAUUUGGCGACAAACCUACAGAUUUCUACAAAGUAUGCUUUGACUCUGAUGACAUUGGAAUCCUCC
rnacentral:lncRNA from 1 species